AGCGGGCUAGGAAAGCUGUGGGAGAAAGCCCAGGAUGCCCUCGGAGUGGGGGCAGAGGGGGCGUGGCCCAGGCCUCAACCAUCCCGCCCGGGGGCGGCAGGAGGACGAGGCUGGACUCUUUUCAGGACUUUCGCGGGAAACGGCGCCGUCCGAAACCGAAACAGCUCCUGAGGAAAUCCUUCUUGACCUCUGUAGCUAGGGCGUGAGUAUCGGAAGAGCGAGGGUCUCCGGUUUCUUGGUCCCUCUCCCCCCGCAGACGGGAAUGGAAGGAGCUGGCAUGUCACGUGACCAAGUCUGAAGUCACGUGACGAGGAAUUAGCCGUGACCAGGCCUUGGGCAAAAAAGUCUAAUUGGCGGAGCUCUUGGGAGCUGGGGCGAUGGGCUCUUAGGAUCGGAGGAUUGGAACCAUCCGAUUUUUACCUCUAAUUCCUUAGUCUCUCCUGGGUUGGGGAAAUGGUCACCUUGCAUUCGGGGACCUGGGCUUUCAGCUGUCCAUACCUGGCCCUGGUUGAUGGCGGCAUGCUGGGCAGUGCAUGUGAAGACGCACAUGGGGCUGUGGUGCUGCUCACCUAAGGAUGUUGGAGAGUGUCCAGUCCACGCAAGAGUCCUGGAAUAGUAGCUGUCCGCUUCAUUGUUUCCACCUUGAGUAUAGAGACCGGGACUUGCUGUGUUGCCCAGGCUGGUCUUGAACUCCUGGUCUUAAGCAAUCAUACUGCUUUAGCCACCCGAAGCACUGGGAUUACAGGCAUGAACCACCACACCCAGCUCUUAAAACCACAGUAUUUCUAGGUCAGUAUAACACACCCGCCCCAUGGACUUAUAGGUGUGGCAGAAGCUUGGACUUCUGGCUUUUCUCUCUCUUACACCCAGGCACACUGCAGCUACCGUGUCCUCCCUUCACUACAUUUUAGAUUCUUUUCAUUCCUGUCAUUAGCAUGCUAACAUACAUCUCUCUCCACCUUACUGUUGGGCAGGUAUGAGUGGCUUGCUGGUUGCUCUUCCUUGUCUUUUGAUCUGUUUCUACUUAGCUGACUCCUCAGUUGGGGAGAAACAUUCUUCAUCAAUACUAGACUGUUAUAGGCUGUCCCCCUGUGAUUUCAAACUCUAGUACCAGAUACUGUUCUCUGGUUGGUUCUUAUGGGCACCACUUGUUUUUCUGGCUGAAUGCUAAAUCUAAGGUAGGAAUACGGCUUUUGUUUUACUAAUAGUGUUCCAGCCCUGCUGUGAGCGCACUGCUAGACGGUCAGAUCUCUGAGAAUUUCAGAGGGUUCCUGUAUAAUGUUAAGUGACUAAACUUAAUACACAUAAUUAAAAUCAACAUCUCAAGGUAU